GACGAACGCUGGCGGCGUGCCUAAUGCAUGCAAGUCGAACGAGAGCGACCGGUGCUUGCACUGGUCAAUCUAGUGGCGAACGGGUGAGUAACACGUGGGUAACCUGCCCAUCAGAGGGGGAUAACAUCCGGAAACGGAUGCUAAAACCGCAUAGGUCUUCGAACCGCAUGGUUUGAAGAGGAAAAGAGGCGCAAGCUUCUGCUGUUGGAUGUACCCGCGGUGCAUUAGCUAGUUGGUGAGGUAACGGCUCACCAAGGCCGUGAUGCAUAGCCGACCUGAGAGGGUGAUCGGCCACAUUGGGACUGAGACACGGCCCAAACUCCUACGGGAGGCAGCAGUAGGGAAUCUUCCGCAAUGGACGCAAGUCUGACGGAGCAACGCCGCGUGAGUGAAGAAGGUUUUCGGAUCGUAAAACUCUGUUGUUAGAGAAGAACAAGUGCUAGAGUAACUGUUAGCGCCUUGACGGUAUCUAACCAGAAAGCCACGGCUAACUACGUG
rnacentral:rRNA from 1 species